UACGUAGGGUGCGAGCGUUAAUCGGAAUUACUGGGCGUAAAGCGUUCGCAGGCGGUUUUGUAAGCCAGAUGUGAAAUCCCCGGGCUUAACCUGGGAAUGGCAUUUGGGACUGCAAGGCUGGAGUGCGGCAGAGGAGACUGGGAUUCCUGGUGUAGCAGUGAAAUGCGUAGAUAUCAGGAGGAACACCGAUGGCGAAGGCAGGUCUCUGGGCUGACACUGACGCUCAUGCACGAAAGCGUGGGGAGCAAACAGG
rnacentral:rRNA from 1 species